AUUGAACGCUGGCGGCAGGCCUAACACAUGCAAGUCGAACGAGUGGCGGACGGGUGAGUAAUGUCUGGGAAACUGCCUGAUGGAGGGGGAUAACUACUGGAAACGGUAGCUAAUACCGCAUACCAUCAGAUGUGCCCAGAUGGGAUUAGCUUGUUGGUGGGGUAACGGCUCACCAAGGCGACGAUCCCUAGCUGGUCUGAGAGGAUGACCAGCUACUCUGGAGUGUAGACACGAUCCCACUGCCUACGUGAGGCAGCAUUGGGGAAUAUUGAACAAUGGGCGCAAGCCUGAUGCAUACAUGCCGCGGGUAGGAAGAAUGCCUUCGAAUUGUAAGGUACGUUAAGCUGGGCGGAGUUCCCCGCAGAAGAAGCACCGGCUAACUCCGUGCCAGCAGCCGCGGUACUAC
rnacentral:rRNA from 1 species